UGCCCAGCAACUCCUAUCCCUACCCCCUCAUGGUACCGGCCGGAAACUACGAGCAACCUUAUGGAAGAUCGGGUAAUCAACCCCGCUGGGAGCUUUGGUCGUAGGCUAACAUGGGAGAAGG
rnacentral:ribozyme from 1 species